UCCCCGCACAAGCAGCGGAGCGUGUGGUUUAAUUCGUUGCUACACGAAGAACCUUACCUGGGUUUGACAUAGCAGUAGUAGGGAUCCGAAAGGUGACCGACCUUCGGGGAGCCUUCACAGGUGCUGCAUGGCUGUCGUCAGCUCGUGUCGUGAGAUGUCCGGUUAAGUCCGGUAACGAGCGCAACCCUCGCUGUGUGUUAUAUGUGUCACACGGGACUGCCGGUAUCAAGCCGGAGGAAGGUGGGGAUGACGUCAAGUCAGCAUGGCCUUUAUGUCUGGGGCUACACACACGCUACAAUGGCCAGUACAAUAGGUUGCAAGACCGCGAGGUGGAGCCAAUCCUUAAAGCUGGUCUCAGUUCGGAUUGCAGGCUGCAACUCGACUGCGUGAAGUUGGAAUCGCUAGUAAUCGUAGAUCAGCAUGCUACGGUGAAUACGUUCCCGGGCCUU
rnacentral:rRNA from 1 species